UGCUUCAGUUGUCUAAGUAAUUUCAGUUAUUUCUGAAAAUUAUAUGAACAGAACUUUAUUUUAAACUGGACUUAUUACACUGUGUUAAAAGUCACAAGAAGUUCACUUCUGUUUGCAUCUCUGUACUUACGUGCACGCUAAUUCAAUUCUGUAAAAUAACUCAAUUGAGUUUUACACUGUGAGAGUAGAGUAACUUUUUUUUCUUCUUGGUAGUUCUGCGGUAAUUCAGUAUCACCACACACCACCCAGAAUAGUUUGUCAGCAGAUGGUUAGAGAACUGCCACAGAGAGGAGGGAGAGGUAGGUUUGAAAACCCUCAAGCUGAGAAAGACUUUAGUCCUGUAUCUCCUAUAUCCUAAAAAAUAGCUCUAACCAUUACCACAAACAUAAAUGACAGUGAAUUAGCUUUACUGUUUUAUGUGUAAGAAAGAGCAUAGGAACAUCUCUUUUAGAGGAGGCUUAUGAUUCUGGAGCCCAAAGGACAGAGACUGAGUUUUAACAUAGAGUCUUACUGCAAAUCUUGGAAAGGAAUGAGGUUUCUGGAACUUCCAGUAGAACUGAAGCCAAUAUCAUGGGAAGCCAACGAAAAUGUGGCAGUCUGAGCUCUGAGAUUAAGUUCAUCUUAACUCUCCUGUACGUAAGGGCAUGAAGAGCCAAGAAAUAAAACCUAUACAAAUGCUUUCACAAAUCCCUGCAGACCAAAUCCAUCAAGUGCCACCUGGCCUAAAGCUCUGUAAGGAAAUCAAGGGACCUGCAGAUCAUUAGCUAGUUGAAUCUAAGUCCGUGGUUAGUUUUUGCUGGUGUAUUUAGUUCUAAUAAGGCACAAACAAUAAGAACUAACUUAUUUCUCUUCUUCCCUUGAUUUUUCUUUUUGUCACACAGAAGAGGUAAUGUCCCCUGUGUAGUUUCGACUUACUUUCACAAAUGCCACAAUCUUGUCAGCAUAUUGCAUUGCUUUAAGUCAUGUAACAGCUUCUUUUUCUGUUCUUGCAAUGAUUUAAAAUCUUCCCCAAAUCAUACCCCUUUUAGUAGGUUAUCCUUCAUGACUGAUUCCUGUAGAUUUCCAUUUCCUUUUAAGGUGUCUUUUAAAACUAUUUCUAUGUGGAAUACAGGAAAAAAGGACAACUGUGUCGUAGGCAUUAUUUUCUUGAUUAGAUUAUUAGGCUCUACAGAGUAAAAUGUCUCUCAUGAAAUCCAGCAAAAGACAGCAGAAAACAGAGCUCUUUUCUGAACCUCCUUAGGCAAAAGUAUCACCCUUUUUGGCUAUGUUGCCACAGGGCAUGUGAUUAAAUUAUUUUAAAACCAUCCUUUAAUUUAGAAAAAUAAUCAGCUGAAUAGAAUCAGUUUUACGGAGAUACUAUAUUAGAUUUAUUCACAUACACAAGCUUUAUGAAAUGAGAAAACAUCUGCUACGCUGACAUAUUGCCAGAACUGUACUUAUUUAAAAUGCUAACUUACUUAUUUAAAAUGAUAAAAAACAUUGUGAGCAUACCUUGGAUAUAAGCUAAAAAGAUAAAAGCUGGCAAUCUUUAAGGUUUAAAAGAAUUGUGCAGGUAACAAGUGUUUUCUGAAAAACUCUGCCCAGUGCUGUCAAGUGCAUGGAAGUGGAAAUUAUUUUAACUUGUAACAGCAACUUGUUAAAUUAGUUGACCAAUUAAAGGAGCCUCUGAAAUUCAAUCUUUAGCUAAAUGCAGAGAUUAAUACUACGUGACAUUGUUAGGGUAUCUGUCACAGAUGUUUUGGUUUUGAAUUAUGUUACAUGAUACUACAACUGCAAAUGCUUUUUCUGAGUAGAGUUAUGGUAAACUGUUCAGGGUACAUGACUGCUAAGAGCAGUAAGUGAAAUGCAUACUAGUUUUAAUUCCAUGUAAAUUCUGAAUUUUACACUCUGAAUGGAUCUGGAAAUUGUACUUCACUGAGCUAAGGGAAAUGCUGGUUGGAUAUCUUCAUUGUGAUGGAUAAAUAUAGGUAGUUUCUGUGGACAAGUGCAGCCCUUGUUAAUGAAAUGAAUGCUAAUGACAUUCUUGUGUAAGUACAGUGUCUGUAGUAACACCACUUUUUCUCUUCAAUGUGUACCUUUACAUGGUAAAUUGCCACGGUGACUUUACAGUUAAUGAGGAGCAAUGUCUAGUGGUAUGAACCCAGCACUAAAAAUAUGGUCUCCAGCUGAGUUCCCACUUACCAGUUUCUGCUCAUUGUUUUCGUCUGCUUGCUUGCCUUGCAGUCCGACAGGAGCCUUCCGAGCCAAAGUUUCCAGCAGCGCACACCCGUGGAGUGCCCACUGACAGGCACAAACCAGAGAAUCUGCACACUCGUCAGUGCGGAGGAAGAUGAGUUCUGUGACUUAACAGAUUUGGGAUUUUGCUUAUUUUUUUUCUUACGAGGUCCCAUGAAGAAAACACAGCUGUCUGUUCUACGUCAUGUAAACUACCCUGACAAAUGUGAGAAAAUUAAGGCUACUGGUGUUCUUGGUGUUACAAGUCAAUCACAAUAUUAGUCUUGGGAAUUCAGCCUGUCAGAAACCCAGUUCAGUGCUGCAACAGAAGGAAAAGACGGCAUUGUGCCGCUAUGGAACGGCAAGAACGAUAUGCACAACGGAAUUUCAAGUUCCACUUCUCGGCUAAGUUCUUAUGAGGAAAACAUGAGAAUUACUUGACAAGAACAAAUAAAGGUAAACAUGGAGUGUUUUUGAAUGGAGUUGACAACACUGAAAUAAAUCUUUCUUGGAAUACAAAAGUAGGGGAACACAUGAAAGAAUUUCAAUCCAACACAGAGAAGUUCACUCAGAGCAGUUUUGAAAACAUUCAAGUUCAUGACAGUUACUUUUUUGCAGGGAAUGACUGCAGAUCUUUCCUGAAAACAAAAGGAAACUACAUGCGGGUUGUACUCAGCCCUGAGUAUUUAAAACUACACAUGCUACACAAGAUGUAAACUACAUUUAAGAAGACUGGGGUUUUUGACAUUUCAUAUACAUUGCCAUGAUUUGCAUGUGGAGUUCUAGAAAAGUCUGAUCUUUAGCCUUCCAUCUUCUGGAAUUUGAAUUAAUGAACUUCACUUAAUUAGGCUCGGGUGAGGAGUUAGAGGCUUACCCAGAAUGCAGAGAUAUUUGAAUAGGCUUGCCUGGGUACUACAGCCUGUGUAGUUUCAGCAUGCCUAAAACUAGACUGAGUACAAAGUAAAUACAAUAAAAAAAUAAAAUUCAGGGAGUGAAUUUAUAAAUAAAUAUAUUGUAGGCAAGAGCUUGAAAGGGCACAGACUAAGCGAUUAUUAGGGUUUUUUCCCCCAACUUGAAUUUCUAUGACCCUGUGAGUGCAAAACUAUGAAUAAAUGAGUUUUUAAAUCUCA